UUCCUGGAAAAAAAGAGCAGGUCGGUGGAGCUGGAUUGGGCCAAACCAAGCAGACAUUCGGGGCAAGGACUGAAGGGGUCUUUCUGUCCUCUGUCCCAGGCUGG